ACAACUUAAGCUUAAUGAAGCAGUUUUGGUGUAUAGAUCAUGCCGCUGCAGCCUCACUGCUCAAUCCUCUGCCAUUUAGGAGUUAAAUCACUUUGUUUAUGCAGUCCUAGUCACAACUCCCUGCAUGUGACUUGCAUAGCCUUCCUAAACGUUUUCUGUAAAGAGUCAUCUAAAUGUUUAAACCCCCUUUAUUUCACAUUCUGUUUAAUCUAGAAUUUCUUAUCUCCUUCUCUGUUAAUAGCUUGCUAGACCCUGCAAGAGCCUCAUGUAUGUAAUGUAAGUUAAAUUUACAGAACA